GUGUCUGCCAACAGAAUAAUCUCUCUUCAGGUUGAGAGGGAGCACUUGACGGCGUAACUAAUCCCUCGAUAGAACCUAGCGGUGCCACCCACCAACAUCGCAUCCACACUUGCUUUGCCCUCACUGAAGAGGCGAGGCCGUAGUAGAGGAGAUUUGAAUCCGGGAUGGGGGGUUCCCAACUGUGCUCGCCACCAACCAUCCUAAGCCUCGAUGGAUAUUUAUGUAUGUGACGUAUGUAUGAAUAUAUCUUCGUUAGCUCAAAAAUUAAAAAAUAAAAAGAUAAUAAUUGAGUGGAGUAUAAA